AAAGAAAUCCAAAGUCAAAAACUUGGAUGUAAUUCAAACAUACAUCAUCCCAAAAUCCACUGAAUUUAAGAUAGAUGUUCAUUACAAGUUUUUUUCAACUAGUCCAUUACUAGUUUUAUACAACGUAGAAAGCAGAAACAUUUUGGGAAAAUUUUACUUUUACACUUUGUUGGAUACCACUUUUCAACUUUACCAUCAGUCUAAGGACAUUUUCAGAAAUACACACUUUCAUUAAUGAGCAAAAGACAAGAACACCCUUACCUUAUCUUCUUCUCCACUAUUGGUUUCUCUCCCUGUCCUCGAGUCACCGUCAUCUCUCUCUCACCGUCGUCUCUCUCUCUCACCGUCAAUUUCCGGCGCCUCUCUCACCGCCUAGUUCUGGUGUCUCUCUCACCGUCGAUCUCUCUCUCACCGUCGAUCUCUCUCUCACCGUCGACUUCCGGUGACGAAAUCGAUUCAAAAUCUCCAAGAUGUCAACUCAUAUACGUGAUUCACAACUUAUGUCUCUAAUUUCUGUAUUUUUGUUUGAUUCGAUUUUGUGCUUUCUCUUAUCGAAAAAUCAAACAAGGUUCUCUUAGAUAUCUCAUUUAAAGAGGUCGAUCUAAGAGAAACAGAUUUGAUAGUGAAACGUUGAGAGUGAAAACAUUGAGUAUUUGAAAACUUAAAUCUGGUUUUGAAAUCAUAUUAAGAUUGAUCUGAAUGGUUCCGGCUAAGAAAAGAGAUUUUCCGAUAGUAAAAACUGCAUAUUAAGGAAGAGAUAAUUUCCGAUAGUAAAAACUGAAUAUUAAGGAAUUAUAACCCCUUAUAAAUCUGGGUUUCAUGAGAUUGUUGAUAAAUACAACUCAAUGAUUUAUAAGGAAUUAUAACCCUUUAUAAAUCUGGGUUUCUACCAGGAAACCUCUUCUGCAGAUCUGUUAUGUCUACAUAGGGACUCAACAAGGGCUUCGACAAUUACUGAAGUGUUGGAGGUGGAGAAGAAAAAUAAUGGUGUGGUUACUACAGUGUUUGGAUUCUCUGAGGAAUUCAAACAUUUGGUGAACCCAACACAUCCUCAUGAUAAGGACUUUGAAAGUGUUAUACAACUAGUUCAACAAGGAUACAAUGUGUAGAAAAUCGAUUGGGAACAAGGAUUUGUGGAUGUUUUCUUACAACAGAAGACAUUGGUCGACAAAGCAGGACAGAAGACAAAGAUGUACAGCAAAACCUCUAAGGAGCAAACACAAUAUCAAGAAGAACAACAAGUGGAAGCUGAUGCUGAAUUCGGUGACGGUGAUAAAGAAAGAGAAACAUCAAAAAUCAAUGAAGGUUGAGGAAGAAUAAGAAGAACAAAUGGAAGCUGAUACAGAAGUUGAGGAGUCCGUGCAAGCUGAAAGGCAGAAAUGAAGAAGAGGAAAUAAGCCAUCAUAAUACUGUUUAGGAACAAGAGCAUAAGAAGAAUAAAGAGAAAAGAAAAGAUGAAGCGUAUGAGAAAGCUAAGGAGAAAUUUCAAGAUGAAGAUGGUUCCAAACUCGAUAAGUUAAUCCAAAUGCUUUAUGAUUUGAAUAAACGAGUAGAAGUAAUCGAGAAUGUCAAGUGGUAAGCAAAUAACUUUACCAAGCACUUAUAAAUAUUUUCACAUGUUAUUUUCUUUACCUAUUAUGACAUGAUUUUUUGAAGGCAGACGGUUAUGAGAGUCCAUGCAACUAUGAUGAUACAAAAGGUGCACCAAAUGAUGAAAAUGAAGAAAAAGAAUAUUCUGGUGGUAAAAGAAAUGCAACAGAUGAUGAAAAUGAUGAAGAAGAAAUUUCUGAUACACAGCAACUAACGGAAGUGAAUAUUCUUAGGGAAAAUGAGAAUACAGAGAAAAUCACUCCAGACGAAGACACUGAAAAAAGUGAAAAAAAAAGAUGCAUGGAACAAAAGUCACAGUUACAAUUCUAAAAAAUAGAAUAUAAAGGUUUAUAAAAUUUUUUAUAUU